rnacentral:rRNA from 1 species
GACGAACGCUGGCGGCGUGCCUAAUACAUGCAAGUAGGACGCACAGUCUAUACCGUAGCUUGCUACACCAUAGGCUGUGAGUUGCGAACGGGUGAGUAACGCGUAGGUAACCUGCCUAUUAGAGGGGGAUAACUAUUGGAAACGAUAGCUAAUACCGCAUAACAGUAUGUAACACAUGUUAGAUGCUUGAAAGAUGCAAUUGCAUCGCUAGUAGAUGGACCUGCGUUGUAUUAGCUAGUAGGUAGGGUAAUGGCCUACCUAGGCGACGAUACAUAGCCGACCUGAGAAGGUGAUCGGCCACACUGGGACUGGGACACGGCCCAGACUCCUACGGGAGGCAGCAGUAGGGAAUCUUCGGCAAUGGGGGGAACCCUGACCGAGCAACGCCGCGUGAGUGAAGAAGGUUUUCGGAUCGUAAAGCUCUGUUGUUUAGGAAGAACGAGUGUGAGAAUGGAAAGUUCAUACUGUGACGGUACUUAACCAGAAAGGGACGGCUAACUACGUG